rnacentral:rRNA from 1 species
CAUAACCUGGUUGAUCCUGCCAGUAGUCAUAUGCUUGUCUCAAAGAUUAAGCCAUGCAUGUCUAAGUAUAAGCACUUUAUACUGUGAAACUGCGAAUGGCUCAUUAAAUCAGUUAUAGUUUAUUUGAUAGUACCUUACUACUUGGAUAACCGUGGUAAUUCUAGAGCUAAUACAUGCAUAAAAUCCCGACUUUCG